UACGUAGGGUGCAAGCGUUUGUCCGGAAUUAUUUGGGCGUAAAGAGCUCGUAGGCGGUUUUGUCGCGUCUGCUGUGAAAACCCGAGGCUCAACCUCGGGCCUGCAGUGGGUACGGGCAGACUAGAGUGCGGUAGGGGAGAUUGGAAUUCCUGGUGUAGCGGUGGAAUGCGCAGAUAUCAGGAGGAACACCGAUGGCGAAGGCAGAUCUCUGGGCCGUAACUGACGCUGAGGAGCGAAAGCGUGGGGAGCGAACAGG
rnacentral:rRNA from 1 species